AAAUUAGCUCCUUGUCAUUUCUUAAUUUGAUGCAUCCCCUCCCCCCUAAAUUGCAAACAAAGUUGAACAUCUCAUGAAUUAUCUAAUUUGACUUAAACAGUAGCCUCGUAUUAAGUGAACAGAUAGCGCUAUCUGCGAGUUUGAUUGGAGGUUCUUAUUAUGCAAGUGGUAGAGAUAAUAGUAGACAUCCUGAAGAAGAGGUGAAUAACAGUACAUAGCUAGAAGCCUAGAAUACAAGUUGUAAAUGCAUUAAUAUUAUUCUCUUAAAUAAUUCCCACAAUGCUCUUAACUAAUACAAUUUGCAAUGGAGAAUAGCUUGCCCUGG
rnacentral:misc_RNA from 1 species